GCCGGCUAGAGUUAAAGUAAACCCCCUAAUUUCGACUUAGAAAAUCUCGGACCAGCCGAGGCCGACA
rnacentral:tRNA from 1 species